rnacentral:rRNA from 1 species
UACGGAGGAUCCGAGCGUUAUCCGGAUUUAUUGGGUUUAAAGGGUGCGUAGGUGGUUUGAUAAGUCAGCGGUGAAAGUUUGCAGCUUAACUGUAAAAAUACCGUUGAAACUGUCGGACUUGAGUGUAAAUGAGGUAGGCGGAAUGCGUCGUGUAGCGGUGAAAUGCUUAGAUAUGACGCAGAACUCCGAUUGCGAAGGCAGCUUACUGGGAUGCAACUGACGCUGAGGCACGAAAGCGUGGGUAUCAAACAGGAUUAGAUACCCUGGUA